rnacentral:sRNA from 1 species
UUCUAGCCCCGAUUGAAGCAUUUGUUUGAGCUCUUUUUUGUUUUUUUCAAACAAAAAAAGCGAGUGCGGAAAGCGGGAAAUUGC